rnacentral:rRNA from 1 species
UACGUAGGUUACAAGCGUUGUCCGGAUUUACUGGGCGUAAAGAGCGCGCAGGCGGUCGUCCAAGUCGAGUGUGAAAGCCCCCGGCUCAACUGGGGAGGGGCAUUCGAUACUGAUCGACUCGAAGGCAGGAGAGGGUAGUGGAAUUCCCGGUGUAGUGGUGAAAUGCGUAGAUAUCGGGAGGAACACCAGUGGCGAAGGCGACUACCUGGCCUGUUCUUGACGCUGAGGCGCGAAAGCUAGGGGAGCAAACGGG